rnacentral:rRNA from 1 species
AGAGUUUGAUCCUGGCUCAGGAUGAACGCUAGCGGCAGGCUUCAUACAUGCAAGUCGAGGGGCAGCAUAAAUUACUUGUAAUUUGAUGGCGACCGGCGAACGGGUGCGUAACGCGUAUGCAACUUACCUUUUACUAGAGAAUAGCCAAGAGAAAUUUUGAUUAAUGCUCUAUGUUCUUAUUUACUCGCAUGAGUAAAUAAGCAAAGCUCCGGCGGUAAAAGAUGGGCAUGCGUCCUAUUAGCUUGUAGGUGAGGUAACGGCUCACCUAAGCUCCGAUAGGUAGGGGUCCUGAGAGGGAGAUCCCCCACACUGGUACUGAGACACGGACCAGACUUCUACGGAAGGCAGCAGUAAGGAAUAUUGGACAAUGGAGGCAACUCUGAUCCAGCCAUGCCGCGUGAAGGAAGACGGCCUUAUGGGUUGUAAACUUCUUUUAUACAGGAAGAAACCUUUCCACGUGUGGAAAGCUGACGGUACUGUAAGAAUAAGGAUCGGCUAACUCCGUGCCAGCAGCCGCGGUAAUACGGAGGAUCCAAGCGUUAUCCGGAAUUAUUGGGUUUAAAGGGUCCGCAGGCUGUUUGUUAAGUCAGAGGUGAAAGCCUACCGCUCAACGGUAGAACUGCCUUUGAUACUGGCAAACUUGAGUUAUUGUGAAGUAGUUAGAAUGUGUAGUGUAGCGGUGAAAUGCAUAGAUAUUACACAGAAUACCGAUUGCGAAAGCAGAUUACUAACAAUAUACUGACGCUGAGGGACGAAAGCGUGGGUAGCGAACAGGAUUAGAUACCCUGGUAGUCCACGCCGUAAACGAUGGUCACUAGCUGUUCGAUGUACAUUGGUACAUUGAGUGGCUAAGCGAAAGUGAUAAGUGACCCACCUGGGGAGUACGCUCGCAAGAGUGAAACUCAAAGGAAUUGACGGG